UCCCCCCACAGCCCCAGAGUAGUAGAUAGUUUUACUGCCAUUGCACCAAUGAGAAAACAGAGGCACAGAGAGUGAAAUGACUUGCAAAGGACUCAGGAACCCAGGGCUCUGACACUCUAGAGUACUCUCCACUUUGCCUUGCUUUUCCUCUGGGUCUCCUACAUGCUUUUCUUCCACACUGAAAACAAGAUGGUUGAAGAAAAGCCAUGGAAGAUCAAGAAUCAAGGAUGAUGAUGCUUCUCAGGGUUCUCUGGACUGUAGGUUCCCAAGCCAAGCUGGGUAUUGGCAUUGCUCCUGCACUUUAUUUAAAACCCAGUUGCCUGGGCCCCACCUCAGACAUACUGGACCCAAGUCAGGGGCUUGCUUUCAGUAAUCUGAGUUUCCAAAAGCCUCUGCAAUUGGUUCUGGUGUGCAGCUAUGUUGUGGAGACUCUGCUCUGUGCAUGGUGUCUUUUCCUUUGGUUUUCUGGUUGGGAGAGCCAGCAGUAGCGCAGGUCUUGUGGCCUGUCAUGGGGCAGUGAUCCCAGAGGCUCAGAGCUUGGCCAUGGCACGACUCACUUUCACGUCACAGGCAGCAGCCCUUAGAGAAGAGAAGAGAGUCAGACCCUUGCGGCAAAGAGGAAGUCACUGCACCCUCCUCGCUCUCCUCUCUGUGGUGGCCUUGCUGGUGUAAUUUUACAUCACUUCUCCUGGAACACGUGCUGGAAUGGAAACACCAGAUACAGGAGUCUGAUCGCCCAUCUUAGAUGGACCUUGAAAAAUUCAUGUCAAGUGAAAUAAGUCAGAAACAGAAGGAUGAAUAUGGGAUGAUCUCACUCUCAGGAAGAAGUUGAAAAAUAAGAUCAGAAAAGAAAACACAAGUAGAACCUGAA